rnacentral:lncRNA from 1 species
CUCUGACCGGGAGCUCAGUGUUGUUCUGGGAACUCCAAGGACUUGUGUGCGGUUUCAUGUUGGGAAGAGUCACCUCUUCAGGAGUGAAUGAACUCUCCAGUCUCCUAGGGAGCCCCAACCCUGAGGAAGACCUUCAGCUGGCUGCUGUCCUGCAUGGCCUGCCGUGGGGUGAGGACCAGGGUAGCUGUGCUGUGGGUAGAUGACACUGCACACAGAGGCAGCCCACCUGCCCAAACCCAUGGCAUCCUUCAUGGUCACGGGGUAUCCGGUGCCUGCAGAUCCUGUGUGUUCUCCAAAGAAUGCAGCUACCAGUCUUUCUCCAACUGAGAGACGGAACACUGAAGUGCCCUGUAGCCAGCUAAGAAUUCCACUGGAUUUCAUGUUGACUGAAGUGUGGAAUAUAUACAAAAUACAGCCGGAGUGCAGUGGCUCACACCUGUAACCCCAGCACUUUGGGAGGCCGAGGUGGGUGGAUCACCUGAGAACAUUUUUGGGAAGACAAGACUCUUUUCCCCUGGUGUCAGAAGUAAAGACCUACAGAUAUACCAGCAGUCUCUCAGCAUCGGUAGCCUCAUUAGGGAGCUACUGAAUAGCAGCUAAUGGUCUUCUGUAGAACAUAAGUUGAAACAAUACUAGAUAGAAUGAUUAUUACAAAAACAACCAGUAUCUGUGGACUGCUUGCUACAUGUCAAUCUGUUGAAUCUUCACAAAAGCCAAAUGAGAUGGGUACCACAUCUUUCAUGGGAAGUAACUGGGUUCAGAGAGAUUAAAAACCUUCUGCAGUCACACAGCCAGUAGCAGCAGAUCUGAGAUGGGAAUGCAGGUCGUCCGACUCCAGAGUCUGCACCCACUAAAAACUAUGUACAACUUCUCCUCAGAACACUUCAAACCCUGCAUUCUGAGGGGGUAUUUCAAAGGAGCUCCUGCAAAGAUCUCUGCUUCCUUAUGGAGAGGUCCUAAGAUACCUAUUUUCAAAUACCACCACAGUAUUUAUAGCUGGUGCCAAAAAGUUCAUUCGAUUUAGUCUGCUUUAUUUGAUUUUCGUAAAAUCCAAAGUUUGUCCACAGAUAAGCUUUAGUGCACAUACUACAUUCCAAUAAAAACCCUAACCCUUUCACUUUCAACCUUUUCAACUAUUUUCGUUGGUUCACUCCCUGUGACAGUUUCCUCCCUUGACUGAAAAACUUCAGGUCCCUUUACUUGUCACUACAGGAGGGGCACUAGGUGUAUGAUCUCAGCUGGCCUUACAGAAGAAUGUCCCUGUCAUGUUAGUUUUUCUUGUAUGAACUCGUCCGUGCUUCUGAGAAGUAAAAGCCAACUGCCUCAAAUUUUCCUAUAGCCUUUUCUAAUAUUUUACCCACCUCAGGGACUGGUUUCUGUUCUAGCAUCUCCUUUUCAUUUUACCAUAGUUCCAUUUUUUUUUUCUUUUUUCAUUAUAUCCUUAUAUAAAUAUGUGUUCCAAUUCCUGUACGUGUAAAAGCACAUAAUUAUAUCUCUGAUUCAUUCCACAAACAGUUAUAGAGUGCUGUUCCAGGCAAUGAAAAUGCAGAUAAAUGACCCAGUUCUCAUCCUAAAGGACAUUCCUGCCCAGUGGGAAACACAGAGUGAGGCAAGGAGGGAAAUUUUAUGCAGGAUAAUAGGUGCUACGAUUGAACCAAGCGUGGUGUAAAGGGAGCCCAGAGGAUGUUCUCAACUGUGGAAGGCAUCAGGAAAGCUGCUUUCUGUUGGUGAAAAAACUCAUCACAUACAUUUUAUUCAUAACAUGACUUCCACUUCUAUUCUUGAAAUUUCUUUUCUUCCCAAGCUCCGUAACCUCAAUGACAACAGCGUACGUGCAAGAAAAAGGCAGAAGGGAUUGAAAACUGUGCUCCGGAAAAGCAAUUCAAUGUUUCUUUUGAAAAUAAUGAAAAGAAAUAGAUCCCCAAAGUCAGCAGAACACAUUUUAUUAAUAGGAACAGCCAUAUACAACACCGGGUGAUUCAACAUCGAAAAGAAACAAAAAUCCUACAAAGAUCUGACAUCACAGGGAGAUAAAAAUUGGCCCUGGCCGGCAUACCCUGACAGGUCCAAAUUGAAAAUGGAAACACAUGGACACAGGAAGGGGAACAUCACACUCUGGGGACUGUUGUGGAGUGGGGGGAGGGGGGAGGGAUAGCUUUAGGAGAUAUACCUAAUGCUAAUUGACUAGUUAAUGGGUGCAGCAAAACAGCAUGGCACAUGUAUACAUAUGUAACUAACCUGCACAUUGUGCACAUGUACCCUAAAACUUAAAGUAUAAUAAAAUAAAAUAAAAUAAAAAAAGGAAAAAGAAAAGAAAAUGGAAACACAAACACACAACCCUUGUAGGAAUGAUCUGGGGACCUUCUCACAAGGUGCGGGACCACAGGGCAAUUUCACAUUGCUAGCCAUCACAUGCUGUGCAGUGCUUCUUUUCCAGGGAGGCUUUUGGCUUUCCGCAGAAACCCCAUGGAAACUGCCACUCAAACUUUUUCAUCCUAAGAGGAGCCAUCCAGAAUGAUUUCAUGUAACAGCAGUGACCUGUAAAAUUAAUUCCAAACAACGGAUACUUUCUGUGUCCCCUAUAAAUGUUCAAAUUACAAAC